UACGUAGGGUGCAAGCGUUGUCCGGAAUUAUUGGGCGUAAAGAGCUCGUAGGCGGUUUGUCGCGUCUGCUGUGAAAACCCGAGGCUCAACCUCGGGCCUGCAGUGGGUACGGGCAGACUAGAGUGCGGUAGGGGAGAUUGGAAUUCCUGGUGUAGCGGUGGAAUGCGCAGAUAUCAGGAGGAACACCGAUGGCGAAGGCGGGUCUCUGGGCCGAUACUGACGCUGAGGCGCGAAAGCGUGGGGAGCAAACAGG
rnacentral:rRNA from 1 species